GUCUUUUUUAGUUUUUUUUUUUUUGCCAUUUUCUUUUAUUAACCUAAAACUUAAUUUAGUAAGAUUCACAUACACUAUGUACAUAAAUUUUAUUCUGUCAAAGAAUAUUCAAUGGUUAGUGAUAUUGAAAUUAUCCUUGAGAGUUAUGAAAUUUUUAAAUUUGAGUUAUAGUUGAAAUUUCUAGUUAUUAGUGUAGUAUUUUUAAAUAAAUGAUUUUAUUUUUUUUUU
rnacentral:misc_RNA from 1 species